GGAACACGCAGUGUCGUAGACUUUUUCCAUCAACUGGUAUGCCAAUAAAUUUAUUUUCCAAUAAAUAAUAUUUAAUAAAUUGCAAUAACAAUCGUCUAUGAAAUUGAACAUUGACUAAAACGUGCUUCUGAUUGACCAGAAAGAUGAUUUAUCCAAAAAUUCUGUGCAUCAACUGAAAUGUUUCGAUGAAUAUAAACUUUCUCCUCCACUGCAUUUUUCAUACAGCUUGAUUGGCGUACAAUAAUUUUGGUAUUCAAUCAAUUGAAAAGCAAUUCCAGUAAAUUUGGACAAAAUGUAAAAUUAGUAGUUCAUAAUUUUAGCUGUUUGUUUGUUUGUCCGUUUGAAGCGCCAACAUUGUACAAUUGAUAUUGGAAACAGUACUGGAUUUAUGUAUAUACGAUGGAUAAUUUAUCAUUUGUUCAGUGUAAAAAAUUGAUAUUUCAUGCUGUUGAAUGUGAAAUGGUGCUCGGCUCAUGUACGACGUUCAAAGUAAUCGCUUUGUUGGGCUUCAUUUGGCGGGAAUUGCUUUGGCAAUCAAGUGACCAAACAGAAAUUGAGAACAUAAAAAGUUCCACCAGGCCAAUUGUAAAAAAUGUGCCAAAAUUGCACCGAUGAUAUUGGAAAUGAUAUUUUCGGCCAAGUUGGUUAUAAAAGGAUUGUUGAUUCAUUUAGCAAAUGUCUACGAUCAUACCA
rnacentral:misc_RNA from 1 species